rnacentral:rRNA from 1 species
ACACAGGUGGUCAGGUAGAGAAUACUCAGGCGCUUGAGAGAACUCGGGUGAAGGAACUAGGCAAAAUGGUGCCGUAACUUCGGGAGAAGGCACGCUGGCGGUAGGUAAAGUCCCUCGCGGACGGCGCUGAAGCCAGUCGAAGAUACCAGCUGGCUGCAACUGUUUAUUAAAAACACAGCACUGUGCAAACACGAAAGUGGACGUAUACGGUGUGACGCCUGCCCGGUGCUGGAAGGUUAAUUG